CCAAUAGCGUAUAUUAAAGUUGUUGCAGUUAAAAAGCUCGUAGUUGAAUUUCGGGAUUGACGUAAUGGUCGUGCCUUAAGGGGUAUGAACUGUUGCUGUUGAUUUCUCACCUUCUGGAGAAACUUGAUGUCCUUAAUUGGGUGUCUUGCGGAUCCAGGACCUUUACCUUGAAAAAAUUAGAGUGUUUAAAGCAGGCAUUUUUGCUCGAAUACAUUAGCAUGGAAUAAUAGAAUUGGACGGCAUGGUUCUAUUUUGUUGGUUUCUAGGAUCACCGUAAUGAUUAAUAGGGAUAGUUGGGGGCAUUAGUAUUCAAUUGUCAGAGGUGAAAUUCUUGGAUUUAUUGAAGACUAACUACUGCGAAAGCAUUUGCCAAGGAUGUUUUCAUUAAUCAAGAACGAAAGUUAGGGGAUCGAAGACGAUCAGAUACCGUCGUAGUCUUAACCAUAAACUAUGCCGACUAGGAAUCAGACGAUGUUAAUUUUUUAAUGACUCGUUUGGCACCUUACG
rnacentral:rRNA from 1 species